UUAUAACUCUAGACUAAAACAUUCUAAACCCUAACAAUCGCUCUCCCUCCCUCUCCUCUCUAUCUCACCCCCCCGGCUCUUCACGGUCUCUCUCUCUCUCUCUCUCGGGCUUCUCUCAGUUGCCCCCGCUGCUACUGUUUCUGCAGGUUGGUGUGUGUUUAAUUGCUCAUAAUCCUUCAACGUCCACUCACGGUCCCGAUUUCAUCACCGCAGGUUAGU